AUUGAACGCUGGCGGCAGGCUUAACACAUGCAAGUCGAGCGGUAGCACAGGGGAGCUUGCUCCCUGGGUGACGAGCGGCGGACGGGUGAGUAAUGUCUGGGAAACUGCCUGAUGGAGGGGGAUAACUACUGGAAACGGUAGCUAAUACCGCAUAACGUCGCAAGACCAAAGAGGGGGACCUUCGGGCCUCUUGCCAUCAGAUGUGCCCAGAUGGGAUUAGCUAGUAGGUGGGGUAAUGGCUCACCUAGGCGACGAUCCCUAGCUGGUCUGAGAGGAUGACCAGCCACACUGGAACUGAGACACGGUCCAGACUCCUACGGGAGGCAGCAGUGGGGAAUAUUGCACAAUGGGCGCAAGCCUGAUGCAGCCAUGCCGCGUGUGUGAAGAAGGCCUUCGGGUUGUAAAGCACUUUCAGCGAGGAGGAAGGUGGUGAACUUAAUACGUUCAUCAAUUGACGUUACUCGCAGAAGAAGCACCGGCUAACUCCGUGCCAGCAGCCGCGGUAAUACGGAGGGUGCAAGCGUUAAUCGGAAUUACUGGGCGUAAAGCGCACGCAGGCGGUUUGUUAAGUCAGAUGUGAAAUCCCCGGGCUCAACCUGGGAACUGCAUUUGAAACUGGCAAGCUAGAGUCUCGUAGAGGGGGGUAGAAUUCCAGGUGUAGCGGUGAAAUGCGUAGAGAUCUGGAGGAAUACCGGUGGCGAAGGCGGCCCCCUGGACGAAGACUGACGCUCAGGUGCGAAAGCGUGGGGAGCAAACAGGAUUAGAUACCCUGGUAGUCCACGCUGUAAACGAUGUCGAUUUGGAGGUUGUGCCCUUGAGGCGUGGCUUCCGGAGCUAACGCGUUAAAUCGACCGCCUGGGGAGUACGGCCGCAAGGUUAAAACUCAAAUGAAUUGACGGGGGCCCGCACAAGCGGUGGAGCAUGUGGUUUAAUUCGAUGCAACGCGAAGAACCUUACCUACUCUUGACAUCCAGAGAACUUUCCAGAGAUGGAUUGGUGCCUUCGGGAACUCUGAGACAGGUGCUGCAUGGCUGUCGUCAGCUCGUGUUGUGAAAUGUUGGGUUAAGUCCCGCAACGAGCGCAACCCUUAUCCUUUGUUGCCAGCGGUUCGGCCGGGAACUCAAAGGGACUGCCAGUGAUAAACUGGAGGAAGGUGGGGGUGACGUCAAGUCAUCAUGGCCCUUACGAGUAGGGCUACACACGUGCUACAAUGGCAUAUACAAAGAGAAGCGACCUCGCGAGAGCAAGCGGACCUCAUAAAGUAUGUCGUAGUCCGGAUUGGAGUCUGCAACUCGACUCCAUGAAGUCGGAAUCGCUAGUAAUCGUAGAUCAGAAUGCUACGGUGAAUACGUUCCCGGGCCU
rnacentral:rRNA from 1 species